rnacentral:rRNA from 1 species
AUUGAACGCUGGCGGCAGGCCUAACACAUGCAAGUCGAGCGGAUGAAGGGAGCUUGCUCCUGGAUUCAGCGGCGGACGGGUGAGUAAUGCCUAGGAAUCUGCCUGGUAGUGGUGUAUAACGUCCGGAAACGGGCGCUAAUACCGCAUACGUCCUGAUGGAGCAAGUGGGGGAUCUUCGGACCUCACGCUAUCAGAUGAGCCUAGGUCGGAUUAGCUAGUUGGUGGGGUAAAGGCCUACCAAGGCGACGAUCCGUAACUGGACUGAGUGGAUGAUCAGUCACCCGGGAACUGAGGCACGGUCCAGACUCCUACGGGAGGCAGCAGUGGGGAAUAUUGGGCAAUGGGCGAAAGCCUGAUCCAGCCAUGCCGAGUGUGUGAAGAAGGUCUUCGGAUUGUAAAGCACUUUAAGGUGGGAGGAAGGGCAGUAAGUUAAUACCUUGCUGUUUUGACGUUACCAACAGAAUAAGCACCGGCUAACUUCGUG